rnacentral:rRNA from 1 species
AUUGAACGCUGGCGGCAUGCUUUACACAUGCAAGUCGAACGGUAACAGGCCGCAAGGUUCUGACGAGUGGCGAACGGGUGAGUAAUGCAUCGGAACGUGCCCAGUCGUGGGGGAUAACGCAGCGAAAGCUGUGCCAAUACCGCAUACGAUCUAUGGAUGAAAGCGGGGGACCGUAAGGCCUCGCGCGAUUGGAGCGGCCGAUGUCAGAUUAGGUAGUUGGUGGGGUAAAGGCUCACCAAGCCAACGAUCUGUAGCUGGUCUGAGAGGACGACCAGCCACACUGGGACUGGGACACGGCCCAGAUUCCGACGGGAGGCAGCAGUGGGGAAUUUUGGACAAUGGGCGCAAGCCUGAUCCAGCAAUGCCGCGUGCAGGAAGAAGGCCUUCGGGUUGUAAACUGCUUUUGUACGGAACGAAACGGUCUGGGUUAAUACCCUGGGCUAAUGACGGUACCGCAAGAAUAAGCACCGGCUAACUACGUGCCAGCCGCCGCAGUAAUAC